rnacentral:rRNA from 1 species
GACGGGGGCCCGCACAAGCGGUGGAGCAUGUGGUUUAAUUCGAUGAUACGCGAGGAACCUUACCUGGGCUCAAAUGUAUGUUGACGUAUUCUGAAAGGGAUACUUCUUCGGACAAUAUACAAGGUGCUGCAUGGUUGUCGUCAGCUCGUGCCGUGAGGUGUCGGGUUAAGUCCCAUAACGAGCGCAACCCCUAUCAUUAGUUGCCAUCAGGUCAAGCUGGGGACUCUAAUGAAACUGCCUACGCAAGUAGUGAGGAAGGUGGGGAUGACGUCAAAUCAGCACGGCCCUUACGUCCAGGGCUACACACGUGCUACAAUGGCCGAUACAGAGGGCAGCUACCUGGUGACAGGAUGCAAAUCUCCAAAGUCGGUCUCAGUUCGGAUCGGAGUCUGCAACCCGACUCCGUGAAAUUGGAUUCGCUAGUAAUCGCGCAUCAGCCAUGGCGCGGUGAAUACGUUCCCGGGCCUU